GUUAGGAAUCUUCCACAAUGGGGGCAACCCUGAUGGAGCAACACCGCGUGCUGGAUGAAGGCCUUCGGGUCGUAAACAGCUUUGGUAUACGAAGAAUAUGACGGUAAUAUACGAAUAAGGGUCGGCUAACUACGUGCCAGCAGCCGCGGUCAUACGUAGGACCCAAGCGUUAUCCGGAGUGACUGGGCGUAAAGAGUUGCGUAGGCGGCUUAUUAAGCGAGUAGUGAAAUCUGGUGGCUCAACCAUCAACACAUUGCUCGAACUGAUAGGCUUUAGAAUGGUAGAGGUAGUUGGAAUUUCUUGUGUAGGAGUGAAAUCCGUAGAUAUAAGAAGGAACACCAAUGGCGUAGGCAGACUACUGGACCAUUUCUGACGCUGAGGCACGAAAGCGUGGGGAGCGAACCGGAUUAGAAACCCCGGUAGUCC
rnacentral:rRNA from 1 species